CAGGAUCUCAGCCGGGCGGGGGCUGCAGGCUCUCCGUGGCUUCCGAGGAGGCGUCUGACUCGGGAGGGAUCCUUUGAAGGCAGCAAACACGGUUGGCAACAGACAUUUUGUUUUCGAAGUUGGUAACACAUCCUGGCUUUUCCGAGAACUGCGUGUCCUGGGGAGCCGUGGUUCGGGGGAAGACCCCUUCCUGAAUGUGCUGUGUGAAAAGGAACUGCCUCGCCGUGGGGUGGGGUGGGGCACCCGCCGCUGCGCUUCUGCGCCCCCGGCUCACUGGUACUGCAGGUAGUUUUUGAGAGACUGCGGCAGGGGCAGGCAGCUGAUGUCCCGCAGGCGCUGGCGGCCCAGGGCCGAGCGAAUGGAUCUCCGGCACAGGUCCAUCAGCGGCAGGGGCUCGGCUGCAACGAGAGGCAAGCGGAGCAGAUGAGUGUCCUGUGGAACAAAGAAAAAAAGCUGACGUGGAGAACUGAGAAUGGGAUGCCCCAGCCUGGAAUGUGGGUGCGAUGGCUGGAGCUCCAGCAGCCAUUUUGGACCACGCAGUGCCUUUGGGAGUAGAAACCACAAGUUAAGAAGGUGAAGCAGCAAGCAGAAGGAGCCUGAGGCACUGAAGACCUCCUAGAACCCUACAGCAUCCCUAGACUGCUUGUUUCCAGACUUUU